UACGGGGGGGGCAAGCGUUGUUCGGAAUUACUGGGCGUAAAGCGUGUGUAGGCGGGCCCCUAAGUACCUUGUGAAAUCCCACGGCUCACCCGUGGAACCGCUGGGUAUACUGGGGGCCUCGGGCCACUCAGGGGCGACUGGAACAAGCGGUGGAGCGGUGAAAUGCGUAGAUAUCGCUUGGAACGCCGACGGUGAAAACAGGUCGCUGGGAGUGCGCCGACGCUGAGACACGAAAGCCAGGGGAGCAAACGGG
rnacentral:rRNA from 1 species